UUUAUAUAUUUAAUAAAUAAAUUUCAUUAUCCAUAAUAAUUUAAUUUAAAUAAGAAAAAUCCUUUCUCACCAGCCUUACUGUAGUAAUUCACCAUUUGCUGAGUUGACAAAAGAAUGACAAAUAUUCUGUGCUGAUAUCCCUAACGCAUCCUCUACCGUCCGAUCAUCCCAUCCAUCUUUCAUAGCUUGAUUCAACCGUUGGAUGAACCCCUUGCUGUGCCGCUCACAAUGGUCAAGAAAUUGCGCCACUGCCCUGGGGUCCUUAUCCCCCAUGCAAAACUGACCAAAUUCCGGCAGCUCCGACCCAUCAAAAUCUCUCAUGGGACCAUAUCCUGCCACCGUCUUUAUAUAUUCCAACAGGCCGUCGAUAAGCCAAGGCGGAGCCUUAUCCUUACUGUCAUCGUCCCAUAGCCAUACGCGGGACAAUCCCUGUAAAACUAUCGAUUUAAGAGCAUAAUCAAGGUUUUUGGUAUCACCCACUAUUGAUGGACUUACAGUAAUCACAAACUCAUGGUUUGUGUUUGUUUCAACCACAAACAAGUUGGUUAUGUUGGACCUAGCCAGCCGAAGAGUGACUCGGUUCACUUUCUUCUUGGUGUAGCUGAUAUUUGGAUAAAGAAUGUUCUCAACGAAAGAACUAGAGCUUUGGAUUAAACGAGUAGCUUUGUCGUUGGACAUGUACAAGAGGUUGAAGCGUUUGCCUAGGGGAGAGUCUUUGAUAUCGUUGAUUAUUGUGAUUCCAAAGCCUUUUGAAGCUUCAUAUUUUGCCCAUAAAGAGAUAACUCCAAUGGAAAUGAGUAUGAAAAGCCGGAGAAUGAUGCUGGAAUAUGAAGAGAAACUCUUGUUGAUAUGAUAAUAAUCAUGUUCAGCGUUGUGUAGGGUUGGGGUGAUGAUGGGGGCGGCGGAGGAUAGGAGGGGUUGGAAGAGUUGUUGAUCUUCCAUGAGCGGUGGCGUGGCUAGCUAAACAAGGAUUGGAGCCUAAAAGAGGUAAAAAAGGUAGUGGAAUGGCCACAGAAUAAAGAC
rnacentral:misc_RNA from 1 species